rnacentral:rRNA from 1 species
GAUGAACGCUGGCGGCGUGCUUAACACAUGCAAGUCGAACGAGAAGUGAAGACGGAAACCUUAGGGCGGAAGGCUUUAUUUCGAGUGGCGGACGGGUGAGUAACGCGUGGGUAACCUGCCUCAUACAGGGGGAUAACAGUUGGAAACGACUGUUAAUACCGCAUAAGACCACAGCACCGCAUGGUGCGGGGGUAAAAACUCCGUGGGUAUGAGAUGGACCCGCGUUCGAUUAGCCAGUUGGCGGGGUAACGGCCCACCAAGGCGACGAUCGAUAGCCGAUCUGAGAGGAUGACCGGCCACAUUGGGACUGAGACACGGCCCAAACUCCUACGGGAGGCAGCAGUGGGGAAUAUUGCACAAUGGGGGAAACCCUGAUGCAGCGACGCCGCGUGAGUGAAGAAGUAUUUCGGUAUGUAAAGCUCUAUCAGCAGGGAAGAAAAUGACGGUACCUGAGUAAGAAGCCCCGGCUAACUACGUG